GAUGAACGCUGGCGGCGUGCCUAAUACAUGCAAGUCGAGCGAACAGAUGAGGAGCUUGCUCCUCUGACGUUAGCGGCGGACGGGUGAGUAACACGUGGAUAACCUACCUAUAAGACUGGGAUAACUUCGGGAAACCGGAGCUAAUACCGGAUAAUAUAUUGAACCGCAUGGUUCAAUAGUGAAAGACGGUUUUGCUGUCACUUAUAGAUGGAUCCGCGCCGCAUUAGCUAGUUGGUAAGGUAACGGCUUACCAAGGCAACGAUGCGUAGCCGACCUGAGAGGGUGAUCGGCCACACUGGAACUGAGACACGGUCCAGACUCCUACGGGAGGCAGCAGUAGGGAAUCUUCCGCAAUGGGCGAAAGCCUGACGGAGCAACGCCGCGUGAGUGAUGAAGGUCUUCGGGUCGUAAAACUCUGUUAUUAGGGAAGAACAAAUGUGUAAGUAACUAUGCAUGUCUUGACGGUACCUAAUCAGAAAGCCACGGCUAACUACGUG
rnacentral:rRNA from 1 species